rnacentral:rRNA from 1 species
CCUACGGGGGGUAGCAGUGAGGAAUAUUGGUCAAUGGACGAGAGUCUGAACCAGCCAAGUAGCGUGAAGGAUGACUGCCCUAUGGGUUGUAAACUUCUUUUAUAUGGGAAUAAAAUGUUCCACGUGUGGGAUUUUGUAUGUACCAUAUGAAUAAGGAUCGGCUAACUCCGUGCCAGCAGCCGCGGUAAUACGGAGGAUCCGAGCGUUAUCCGGAUUUAUUGGGUUUAAAGGGAGCGUAGGUGGAUUGUUAAGUCAGUUGUGAAAGUUUGCGGCUCAACCGUAAAAUUGCAGCUGAAACUGGCAGUCUUGAGUACAGUAGAGGUGGGCGGAAUGCGUGGUGUAGCGGUGAAAUGCUUAGAUAUCACGCAGAACUCCGAUUGCGAAGGCAGCUUACUGGACUGCAACUGACACUGAGGCUCGAAAGUGUGGGUAUCAAACAGGAUUAGAUACCCUUGUAGUC